rnacentral:rRNA from 1 species
UACCAGCACCCCGAGUGGUCGGGACGAUUAUUGGGCCUAAAGCAUCCGUAGCCGGUUUUACAAGUCCUCCGUUAAAUCCAACUGCUUAACAGAUGGGCCGCGGAGGAUACUAUAAGACUAGGAGGCAGGAGAGGCAAGCGGUACUCAGUGGGGUAGGGGGUAAAAAUCCGUUGAUCCAUUGAAGACCACCGGUGGCGAAGGCGGCUUGCCAGAACGCGCUCGACGGUGAGGGAUGAAAAGCUGGGGGGAGCAAACCGG